rnacentral:rRNA from 1 species
UACGGAGGGUGCAAGCGUUAUCCGGAUUCACUGGGUUUAAAGGGUGCGUAGGUGGGCAGGUAAGUCAGUGGUGAAAUCUCCGGGCUCAACCCGGAAACUGCCAUUGAUACUAUCCAGUCUUGAAUAUCGUGGAGGUAAGCGGAAUAUGUCAUGUAGCGGUGAAAUGCUUAGAUAUGACAUAGAACACCAAUUGCGAAGGCAGCUUACUACCCGAAUAUUGACACUGAGGCACGAAAGCGUGGGAUCAACAGG